GUGGCUGAGUGGUAAAGCGCUUGGCUUCCGAACCGAAUUAUCCCGGGUUCGAAUCCUGGC
rnacentral:tRNA from 1 species